UAAAAACCCCGACUUCGGAAGGGGUGUAUUUAUUAGAUACAAAACCAAUGCCCUUCGGGGUUCUUUGGUGAUUCAUGAUAACUAUACGAAUCGCACGGCCUUGCGCCGGCGAUGGUUCAUUCAAAUUUCUUCCCUAUCAACUUUCGAUGUUUGGGUAUUGGCCAAACAUGGUUGCAACGGGUAACGGAGGGUUAGGGCUCGACCCCGGAGAAGGAGCCUGAGAAACGGCUACUACAUCCAAGGAAGGCAGCAGGCGCGCAAAUUACCCAAUCCCGACUCGGGGAGGUAGUGACAAUAAAUACUGAUACAGGGCCCUUUCGGGCCUUGUAAUUGGAAUGAGUACAAUUUAAAUCCCUUAACGAGGAACAAUUGGAGGGCAAGUCUGGUGCCAGCAGCCGCGGUAAUUCCAGCCCCAAUAGCGUAUAUUAAAGUUGUUGUGGUUAAAAAGCUCGUAGUUGAACCAUGGGCCUGGCUGGCCGGUCCGCCUCACCAAGUGCACUGAUGCGGGCGGGACUUUCCCUCAGUGGAAACCCAAACUCUUUAGUGAAGAGAGGGGUAAAAAGAAUAUAUUUUGUU
rnacentral:rRNA from 1 species